rnacentral:rRNA from 1 species
UACGGAAGGCAGCAGUAGGGAAUCUUCCGCAAUGGACGAAAGUCUGACGGAGCAACGCCGCGUGAACGAUGAAGGCUUUCGGGUCGUAAAGUUCUGUUGUUAGGGAAGAACAAGUACCGGAGUAACUGCCGGUACCUUGACGGUACCUAACCAGAAAGCCACGGCUAACUACGUGCCAGCAGCCGCGGUAAUACGUAGGUGGCAAGCGUUGUCCGGAAUUAUUGGGCGUAAAGCGCGCGCAGGCGGUCCUUUAAGUCUGAUGUGAAAGCCCACGGCUCAACCGUGGAGGGUCAUUGGAAACUGGGGACUUGAGUGCAGAAGAGGAGAGUGGAAUUCCACGUGUAGCGGUGAAAUGCGUAGAGAUGUGGAGGAACACCAGUGGCGAAGGCGACUCUCUGGUCUGUAACUGACGCUGAGGCGCGAAAGCGUGGGGAGCGAACAGGGAUUAAUACC